rnacentral:rRNA from 1 species
UGGGGAAUUUUGCACAAUGGGGGAAACCCUGAUGCAGCGACGCCGCGUGAUUUAGAAGGCCUUCGGGUUGUAAAAAUCUUUUCUAUGGGAAGAAAAUGACAGUACCAUAGGAAUAAGGACCGGCUAAUUACGUGCCAGCAGCCGCGGUAAUACGUAAGGUCCGAGCGUUGUCCGGAAUCAUUGGGGGUAAAGGGUACGUAGGCGGGUAAGCAAGUUAGAAGUGAAAUCCUAUAGCUCAACUAUAGUAAGCUUUUAAAACUGCUCAUCUUGAGGUAUGGAAGGGAAAGUGGAAUUCCUAGUGUAGCGGUGAAAUGCGCAGAUAUUAGGAGGAAUACCGGUGGCGAAGGCGACUUUCUGGCCAUAACCUGACGCUGAGGUACGAAAGCGUGAGUAGCAAACAGG